GCAGCUGUCACUGUGAUAAGAGAAUUCCUUCCGGCUCCUCGCUGUCGCCAGGGCUGAUGGACCAUCUCCAGAAGCAUCUCCGGGCUUACCAAAGCUGCCCAGGCUACAUCAGGUUUCAACUACCCUGGAGGAGUGUCUGUGGCGGCAAGCAAGACGACUGGGUUCAGGAGUUGCUGCGAUGCUUCAGGCUGCAGGAAUGUGGACAUGCUCACAGGAAGGACCUGGCACAGUACCAGCAUUUCC